rnacentral:rRNA from 1 species
UACGAAGGGGGGCUAGCGUUGCUCGGAAUUACUGGGCGUAAAGCGCACGUAGGCGGCUCUUUAAGUCGGGGGUGAAAUCCUGGGGCUCAACCUCAGAAUUGCCUCCGAUACUGGCAGUCUCGAGUGCGGGAGAGGUGAGUGGAAUUCCCAGUGUAGAGGUGAAAUUCGUAGAUAUUCGGAAGAACACCAGUGGCGAAGGCGACUCGCUGGACAAGUAUUGACGCUGAGGUGCGAAAGCGUGGGAGCAAACAGG